rnacentral:rRNA from 1 species
GACGAACGCUGGCGGCGUGCUUAACACAUGCCAGUCGAACGGUGAAGCGCCUUCCUUUUUGGUGGGUGUGGAUGAGUGGCGAACGGGUGAGUAACACGUGAGUAACCUGCCCCCUUCUUCUGGAUAACCGCAUGAAAGUGUGGCUAAUACGGGAUAUUCUGGGUCUGUCGCAUGAUGGGUCUGGGAAAGAUAUUGUUUCGGUGGGGGAUGGGCUCGCGGCCUAUCAGCUUGUUGGUGGGGUGAUGGCCUACCAAGGCGGUGACGGGUAGCCGGCCUGAGAGGGUGGACGGGCACACUGGGACUGAGACACGGCCCAGACUGCUACGGGAGGCAGCAGUGGGGAAUAGUGCACAAUGGGCGCAAGCCUGAUGCAGGGACGCCGCGUGAGGGAUGGAGGCCUGCGGGUUGUGAACCUCUUUCGCCAGUGAAGCAGGCCUGCCUCGUUUGUGGGUGGGUUGACGGUAGCUGGAGAAGAAGCGCCGGCUAACUACGUG